rnacentral:rRNA from 1 species
GAGAUGUGGGUAGUCCGCACGAGCGCACCUCACUUUUAGUUGCCAUCAUUAAGUUGGGCACUCUGAAAGAACUGCCAGUGAUAAGCUGGAGGAAGGUGGGGAUGACGUCAAGUCCUCAUGGCCCUUACGUGUUGGGCUACACACGUGCUACAAUGGCAUCUACAACAGGAAGCAAAACGGCAACGUUAAGCAAAUCCCGAAAAGAUGCCUCAGUUCGGAUUGCACUCUGCAACUCGAGUGCAUGAAGCUGGAAUUACUAGUAAUCGUGGAUCAGCGUGCCACGGUGAAUGCGUUCCCGGGUCUUGUACACACCGCCCGUCACACCAUGGGAGUUGGUUCUACCUUAAGGCAAGGUUUUAAACCCUUGACCACGGUAUAGUCAGCGACUGGGGUGAAGUCGUAACAAGGUAGCCGUAGGGGAACCUGCGGCUGGAUUGCCUCCUUUCU